AUAUACGACCAUACCCACCGGAAUAUACAGGAUCCCGUCCGUUCUUCCCUAGCCAAACCAGUGAAGGCCUGGGAUCCCAUUUGCUCUCAAAAUCUCCAUGUACCAAAACAUAUGAGGGCCGAACUAGUAUUCAGGUGGGUGGCCACUGGGAAUCCUCGGUGUUGUAUGUU
rnacentral:rRNA from 1 species